rnacentral:rRNA from 1 species
CAUACGGCUCAGUAACACGUAGUCAACAUGCCCAGGGGACGUGGAUAACCUCGGGAAACUGAGGAUAAACCGCGAUAGGUCAUUACUUCUGGAAUGGGUAAUGACUUAAAUCUAUAUGGCCCCUGGAUUGGACUGCGGCCGAUCAGGCUGUUGGUGAGGUAAUGGCCCACCAAACCUGUAGCCGGUACGGGCUCUGAGAGGAGGAGCCCGGAGAUGGGCACUGAGACAAGGGCCCAGGCCCUAUGGGGCGCAGCAGGCGCGAAACCUCUGCAAUAGGCGAAAGCUUGACAGGGUUACUCUGAGUGAUUUCCGUUAAGGAGAUCUUUUGGCACCUCUAAAAAUGGUGCAGAAUAAGGGGUGGGCAAGUCUGGUGUCAGCCGCCGCGGUAAUACCAGCACCCCGAGUGGUCGGGACGUUUAUUGGGCCUAAAGCAUCCGUAGCCGGUUCUACAAGUCUUCCGUUAAAUCCACCUGCUUAACAGAUGGGCUGCGGAAGAUACUAUAGAGCUAGGAGGCGGGAGAGGCAAGCGGUACUCGAUGGGUAGGGGUAAAAUCCGUUGAUCCAUUGAAGACCACCAGUGGCGAAGGCGGCUUGCCAGAACGCGCUCGACGGUGAGGGAUGAAAGCUGGGGGAGCAAACCGGAUUAGAUACCCGGGUAGUCCCAGCUGUAAACGAUGCAGACUCGGUGAUGAAUUGGCUUAUUGCUAAUUCAGUGCCGCAGGGAAGCCGUUAAGUUUGCCGCCUGGGGAGUACGGUCGCAAGACUGAAACUUAAAGGAAUUGGCGGGGGAGCACCACAAGGGGUGAAGCCUGCGGUUCAAUUGGAGUCAACGCCGGAAAUCUUACCGGGGGCGACAGCAGAGUGAAGGUCAAGCUGAAGACUUUACCAGACAAGCUGAG